rnacentral:rRNA from 1 species
UACGUAGGGUGCAAGCGUUACUCGGAAUUACUGGGCGUAAAGCGUACGCAGGCGGUGAUGUAAGACAGGUGUGAAAUCCCCGGGCUUAACCUGGGAACUGCAUUUGUGACUGCAUCGCUGGAGUGCGGCAGAGGGGGAUAGAAUUCCGCGUGUAGCAGUGAAAUGCGUAGAUAUGCGGAGGAACACCGAUGGCGAAGGCAAUCCCCUGGGCCUGCACUGACGCUCAUGCACGAAAGCGUGGGGAGCAAACAGG